GCAGAAAAUGUUGCAAGAGAACCCUUUUGGCAGGUCAGACCUCAGAGUAGCAGUAGAUCAGCAGAAUAUGAAACUCGGGUUAUCUUGAUGGUGUGCAAAUAUCUGCAAUGUAGAAGCAUGGAGACUCCCGAAUUGCAUCAGAGUUGUCAAACUGGUGAUUGAUCACUAAAGAGAUAAGAUGGGAUUUUGUGGCGUGGAAGAGAGGGACAAGUCAAUAUGACCAAAAGUUUCAAUCAAUUCACUUUCAAGUUCUGCCAAGUCCAAAGGCCUCAUGAGGUUCUGGAGAGGGCAGAAGAAAAGAGUUACGAAACCUCCAAAUUCAAGAUGCAUGGUUAUAAUAAGAUGGAAGGUCAUGGAAGUAUCAUUAUAUGUUUGAUCUUACAAUGGUCAGCCAUCAGAGGAUUUGGUUAAUAACAAUAUCUGGUUGUAUUUCUUCAAGUUGCAAGAAAAUUUGCAAAGUCAUGCUCACCCCUCAAAGUUGCAGUGGUUGAUUUCCUCAAGACAUGAUGACUGUCGGAUUUUCCUUGCACUGCACCACAACUAAACCAUAGUCCCGCCUCAUCCCACAUCCCACUCCCCAAAUAAGGCUUAAUGGGCCUAGAAAUCAAUAGACCUUGUGGUUGAUCAGGAAGUGCAAGAUUAGCGGAGUAUGUAAAGAUGGGAAGAAGUCUGUGAUUAUCAAGUAGCUCGAACUUCAAAUAAGACAGGGAAAAGAGAAAAUUAUAAUGAAGAUCGUUUCGGGUGAUUGCAGUCUGUCUCCUCAAAAAUUCUAAUAUGGACCAGGGUCCAGGUGGACCACGGUUAAAUCCGGCGCGUGAAGAAAACGCGCGGUUUUCAGGCGAUUGAAGAAGAAAGCUGACGGCAUGGGACCCACUGAUCUGCAACUGUCGGGUUUUUUACUGUGCAACUGUCGGUUUUUUACUGUUCCCCGAGUUCGUCGACGAGUUCCUUCCGUCAAUCCGUCCUCCCUCCAUUAAACCCCAAACCACCUGCACAACGGAGACCACCGACGCGCAGGAGAUGACAUCCACAGGUCAACCAUACAACCGAUCCACGACCGAACCGGAGCCCCAUUUGGGCGAACCGUUGAUCGAUUCCAUACUCGGCGAUUUGAACAAGGCAACCCCGAAACCUCCGAUGGGCUUCAACGAGAACUGCUCUGCCACCGUGAAGGUCAUCUGCGACGGCGGCGCUCGGGAUCCACAAGCACCACCCCAAAAUCCUAGGCUGCAACGUCGACGUUGGCGGUGGUGCUGUUGUAGACGGCGAAGUUCUGGGUAUUUGGAGGCGACGUCGACAUAUAUAUAUAUAUAUAUAUAUAUAUUAAAUUUCUAUUAACGGUGUAGAUAAAAAGAUACAGAGCCUACGGUCCAGAUCGAACCUCUGAAAAAAAAAUAUAAUAAAUAACUGAUUUGUUUUUAAUAAUAUAA